AUUGAACGCUGGCGGCAGGCCUAACACAUGCAAGUCGAACGAGUGGCGGACGGGUGAGUAAUGUAUGGGAAACUGCCUGCUGGAUGGGGAUAACUACUGGAAACUGUAGCUACUACCGCAUACCAUCGGAUGUGCCCAGAUGGGAUUAGCUAGUAGGUGGGGUAACGGCUCACCUAGGCGACGAUCCGUCGCUGGUCUGAGAGGAUGACCAGCCACACUGGAACUGAGACAAGGUCCAGACUCCUACGGGAGGCAGCAGUGGGGAAUAUUGCACAAUGGGCGCAAGCCUGAUGCAGCCAUGCCGCGUGUAUGAAGAAGGCCUUCGGGUUGUAAAGGACUUUCAGCUGGGAGGCGUUACCCGCAGAAGAAGCACCGGCUAACUCCGUGCCAGCCGCCGCGGUAAUUC
rnacentral:rRNA from 1 species